rnacentral:tRNA from 1 species
GCUCGGAUAACUCAGUGGUAGAGUACGGGAUUGCAGCUAAGUGGGUAACCACCAGUAAGAUUAUCCUGAAGUCGUCGGUUCGAUCCCGGCUCCGAGCU